rnacentral:rRNA from 1 species
GAUGAACGCUGGCGGCGUGCUUAAUACAUGCAAGUCGAGCGAACGGACGAGAAGCUUGUUUCUCUGUUGUUAGCGGCGGACGGGUGAGUAACACGUGGAUAAUCUACCUAUAAGACUGGGAUAACUUCGGGAAACCGUAGCUAAUACCGGAUAAUCUUUUGAACCGCAUGGUUCAAAAGUGAAUGACGGUCUUGCUGUCACUUAUAGAUGGUUACGCGCUGCAUUAGCUAGUUGGUAAGGUAACAGCUUACCAAGGCAACGAUGCAUAGCCGACCUGAGAGAGUGAUCGGCCACACUAGAACUGAGACACGGUCCAUGCUCCUACGAUAGGCAGCAGUAUGCAAUCGGCCGCAGUGGUCGAGAGCCUGACACAGCAACGCCACGUGUGUGAUGGAGAUCUUCGGAUCGUGAUACUCUGUUAUUAGGGAAAAACAUAUUUGUAAGUUACUGUACACAUCUUGACGGUACCUAAUCAGGAAGCCACGGCUAACUACGUG